GACGAACGCUGGCGGCGUGCCUAAUACAUGCAAGUAGAACGCUGAAGGAGGAGCUUGCUUCUCUGGAUGAGUUGCGAACGGGUGAGUAACGCGUAGGUAACCUGCCUGGUAGCGGGGGAUAACUAUUGGAAACGAUAGCUAAUACCGCAUAAGAUUGACUAUUGCAUGAUAGUCAGUUAAAAGGUGCAAUUGCAUCACUACCAGAUGGACCUGCGUUGUAUUAGCUAGUUGGUGGGGUAACGGCUCACCAAGGCGACGAUACAUAGCCGACCUGAGAGGGUGAUCGGCCAAACUGGGACUGAGACACGGCCCAGACUCCUACGGGAGGCAGCAGUAGGGAAUCUUCGGCAAUGGACGGAAGUCUGACCGAGCAACGCCGCGUGAGUGAAGAAGGUUUUCGGAUCGUAAAGCUCGGUUGUAAGAGAAGAACGAGUGUGAGAGUGGAAAGUUCACACUGUGACGGUAUCUUACCAGAAAGGGACGGCUAACUACGUG
rnacentral:rRNA from 1 species